AUACGUAGGUGGCAAGCGUUGUCCGGAAUUAUUGGGCGUAAAGCGCGCGCAGGUGGUUCCUUAAGUCUGAUGUGAAAGCCCACGGCUCAACCGUGGAGGGUCAUUGGAAACUGGGAAGCUUGAGUGCAGAAGAGGAGAGUGGAAUUCCAUGUGUAGCGGUGAAAUGCGUAGAGAUAUGGAGGAACACCAGUGGCGAAGGCGACUCUCUGGUCUGCAGCUGACGCUGAGGCGCGAAAGCGUGGGGAGCGAACAGGAUUAGAUACCCUGGUAGUCCACGCUGUAAACGAUGAGUGCUAGGUGUCGGGGGGUCCAACCCUCAGUGCUGUCGCUAACGCAAUAAGCACUCCGCCUGGGGAGUACGGUCGCAAGACUGAAACUCAAAGGAAUUGACGGGG
rnacentral:rRNA from 1 species